GAACGAACGCUGGCGGCAUGCCUAACACAUGCAAGUCGAACGAGACCUUCGGGUCUAGUGGCGCACGGGUGCGUAACGCGUGGGAACCUGCCCUUAGGUUCGGAAUAACUCCCCGAAAGGGGUGCUAAUACCGGAUAAUGUCUUCGGACCAAAGAUUUAUCGCCUUUGGAUGGGCCCGCGUUGGAUUAGCUAGUUGGUAGGGUAAAAGCCUACCAAGGCGACGAUCCAUAGCUGGUCUGAGAGGAUGAUCAACCACACUGGGACUGAGACACGGCCCAGACUCCUACGGGAGGCAGCAGUGGGGAAUAUUGGACAAUGGGCGAAAGCCUGAUCCAGCAAUGCCGCGUGAGUGAUGAAGGCCUUAGGGUUGUAAAGCUCUUUUACCCGGGAUGAUAAUGACAGUACCGGGAGAAUAAGCUCCGGCUAACUCCGUG
rnacentral:rRNA from 1 species